CGUCCCCUGAGGUGUUCGCGAACGCGCCCAGUAAUCGCUUGAGCCUAACUUACCACCCAAGGGAGCCGAACUAACGGGGUUGUUGUGCAAGUCCGCGGCUUGUGCAAGCGGAAAGCCUGAUACUCCGUGCGAGGUUCCCGUUCUGAACCAAACCUGGUUCAAGGGUCGUGGCGCGUAGCGGCACCCCGGAGGACGU
rnacentral:other from 1 species